CAGGCUUAACACAUGCAAGUCGAGGGGCAUCAGGAAGAAAGCUUGCUUUCUUUGCUGGCGACCGGCGCACGGGUGAGUAACACGUAUCCAACCUGCCCUUUACUCGGGGAUAGCCUUUCGAAAGAAAGAUUAAUACCCGAUGGCAUAAUGAUUCCGCAUGGUUUCAUUAUUAAAGGAUUCCGGUAAAGGAUGGGGAUGCGUUCCAUUAGGUUGUUGGUGAGGUAACGGCUCACCAAGCCUUCGAUGGAUAGGGGUUCUGAGAGGAAGGUCCCCCACAUUGGAACUGAGACACGGUCCAAACUCCUACGGGAGGCAGCAGUGAGGAAUAUUGGUCAAUGGGCGCUAGCCUGAACCAGCCAAGUAGCGUGAAGGAUGAAGGCUCUAUGGGUCGUAAACUUCUUUUAUAUAAGAAUAAAGUGCAGUAUGUAUACUGUUUUGUAUGUAUUAUAUGAAUAAGGAUCGGCUAACUCCGUGCCAGCAGCCGCGGUAAUACGGAGGAUCCGAGCGUUAUCCGGAUUUAUUGGGUUUAAAGGGAGCGUAGGUGGACUGGUAAGUCAGUUGUGAAAGUUUGCGGCUCAACCGUAAAAUUGCAGUUGAUACUGUCAGUCUUGAGUACAGUAGAGGUGGGCGGAAUUCGUGGUGUAGCGGUGAAAUGCUUAGAUAUCACGAAGAACUCCGAUUGCGAAGGCAGCUCACUGGACUGCAACUGACACUGAUGCUCGAAAGUGUGGGUAUCAAACAGGAUUAGAUACCCUGGUAGUCCACACAGUAAACGAUGAAUACUCGCUGUUUGCGAUAUACAGUAAGCGGCCAAGCGAAAGCAUUAAGUAUUCCACCUGGGGAGUACGCCGGCAACGGUGAAACUCAAAGGAAUUGACGGGGGCCCGCACAAGCGGAGGAACAUGUGGUUUAAUUCGAUGAUACGCGAGGAACCUUACCCGGGCUUAAAUUGCAGUGGAAUGAUGUGGAAACAUGUCAGUGAGCAAUCACCGCUGUGAAGGUGCUGCAUGGUUGUCGUCAGCUCGUGCCGUGAGGUGUCGGCUUAAGUGCCAUAACGAGCGCAACCCUUAUCUUUAGUUACUAACAGGUUAUGCUGAGGACUCUAGAGAGACUGCCGUCGUAAGAUGUGAGGAAGGUGGGGAUGACGUCAAAUCAGCACGGCCCUUACGUCCGGGGCUACACACGUGUUACAAUGGGGGGUACAGAAGGCAGCUAGCGGGUGACCGUAUGCUAAUCCCAAAAUCCUCUCUCAGUUCGGAUCGAAGUCUGCAACCCGACUUCGUGAAGCUGGAUUCGCUAGUAAUCGCGCAUCAGCCACGGCGCGGUGAAUACGUUCCCGGGCCUUGUACACGCCGCCCGUCAAGCCAUGGGAGCCGGGGGUACCUGAAGUACGUAACCGCAAGGAUCGUCCUAGGGUAAAACUGGUGACUGGGGC
rnacentral:rRNA from 1 species